rnacentral:lncRNA from 1 species
AAACGUAUAUCAAAAAAAUAUGUAAUUUGAAAGUAUCACCAAACUUUAGUUGAAAUGAUACUAGCUCUUGCCACUUGAGGUAAGGGGUAGGGUUUGAUUUGAUAGGUGUUAAACCUUCUUGCAGAGCUCCCCCAUGAGCAUCAGGCUCUGUCCAUCUAGGAACCUCGCUUCAACCCAAAUGGAGAGAGGGUGCAGGAUAGGAGAUGGUGUUUGAACCUCGCAGUCUUUAAAAAAGAAAAAAAAGGUUAUUUGGAAGUAGGAAACUAUUGGAGGACGUAGGCAAAAUCACAAAGCACCCACUUUCAAAGAGGUGCAUGAUGUUUUUUUUGGAGUUUUGUUGAUACGUUUUGAAUACCAUUUAUACAAUUUUCUUCUUCCUUGUUUUUAAUAUCAUUAAACCUUUGCCCCCUCAAUUUUCCUUUUCUCCCCUCCCCCAAAACUCAACAAUCCCAUAAAAACAAACUAGUUGAUUUUGUUUUGUUUAUUUAUUUAUUUUCAAAAUAGAGAGAGGAGAGAGAUAGUCAGGGCCUAUGAAUAAUUUUGGAUUGCAAACUUUCUAUCAUGCCCUUGGUCUAAGAUAGCGAGAUAGGGGUUAUGACAACUGCCGCAUACUCAUAAAAAACUCUUCACACGAGCAUGUAAGACAUCUUAUUAUGCUAUCAUAAAGAAAUAACUGAAUAAUUAAUUAAUAAAUUAAUUUUAAAUUUAAUAAUCAAAAUUCUAACUUUAGUGUCUCAAUAAUUUUAACAAUAUUUAAAAGAUCUUAUAUCAAAUUCAAUAAAAUUUUUAAUUUAAAAUAAAACUAUCGAGACUCUAUUUCUAACCACUCUCCUAUACAUAUUCUUGUGUUAUCUUAGUUCUCAAAACUAUAAAAAUAAUAAAAUAUAGAAUAAUGAGCUGAACGGUCUAGUAAACUAUGAUUACUCAACUAGAUUAAAUUAAAUCAGUUAAUAAAAUAAAUAAUCAUUUAUAGAAAAUAAGCAUAUAGAAUUUAUUAGUUUGAAAUCAAUUUCUAUUAUGCAAUAUUAUCAAAAUAUUAUUCAUAUUAAAUUUAAUUUUUUUUUUAAAAUUCAAUUUUUUUUUAAGAAUUUAAUUUUUUUUCAAAAUAUCAAGUUCUCGUCAAGCAUAAGCUAUGACCAUAUUGUUCCUGUAGUAGGGUUAUAAUACCAUGUAUCAUCUUGCUGUAAGCUGCAUAUAAUUUUAUAACAUGCUGUGUAUCAUCUGACAGCAAAAUCUUUAGAAAUCAUGGAUCAUCUGACGGUUUGUUGUGAAUUUGCUAGCGAUAUUGUAUUGUGUAUCUGCUUGCAAUAUAAAUCCUAAGAAUAAAUCAAUUGCUAAUCUGUUAGCCCUUAUUGAUGGGAUCUUCUACGUAGUCGGGUUGAGAGUUCAUAUCAUCUCGAAUCAAUUUUUUUUUAUAAAUCAUAUUUCAUAUUUCAAUUUGAUAAGAAUACACAUAAUCAUACAUCAUAUGGUAUUGAAAUCAAUCACGUGUAAUACAUAACAAGAUCAAUACUUUUAAUCACACUUCAUCAUAAUAUUUCAAAAUAAGAUAUUUUUAAUAAUAAAAUAUUAUUCAUCAAAUUUAUGCAUUAUGAAUAGUAUGAUUAAAAAAUUAUUGAUAUAACAAUCUUAUAAUUUACAAAUAAUUUAAAAAAAAUGAAGCAUUACUUACCUCAUCUGUGUUCUAAUAAAUUUCAACAGUUUCAUAAUUUUUUUCAAAAUCUUGAAUUAAUAGAUUAUCAUAAUGUCUCACUACCGGAUAUCUUCUUGUCAAGAUGAUUAUACUCUUAUAUAGAAUUGAGUCUAAUAUUAGAAAGAAUAUGAAUAAUUAUGAAAAGACAGGUUGACGGUAGUUACAUGCAAUGGUCUGGGUCAAUCUGGUCAUCCUUACUUCAUUGAUCAAGACUCGGCUAGAAGAAAGAUCAAUGGUUCAAUAAGGAUUUAGGAUGAUCAAAUCAAUACUAUUUGAUAAGAAUCAAAGUAGAGGUCAAUAUACCAUUUGGCAAUCAAGGGUCAAUUCAAUUAAGUAAUUUUAUCUAAUUAGAGUUAACUAAGAUAUCAGGACUCUUGAUAGAGAUCAAUAAAGAAUAGAUCUUAAGAUGCUCAACAAGAUUCGGAUGAUGCAGAUAUACUAUCCGAUUGACGAGGUCUUCCAGAUCAACUCGGAUUCAAAAUAACAAAGCUAGAGACCCUUUACUGGGUUCAUAAUAUCAGAGUAGAGAAAAAUUAACAAGAUGGAAUAGGGCUAAUCAAAUGACACUACUCGAUAUCUUGAUUCGUCCGAUCAAAAUGAUUUUAUCAAAUCAUGAUUAAACUAAUUGAUAGAUGAUUUAAUAAAAUUAUGGAUUAUCAAUUCUAUUAGUACUUGAUUUGAUCAAGAUGGGUGCCUGCAUGCUAUCCAGCAUAAUGGAUCAGGACCCAUUCACUAGAGUCAUUCAAAUGCAUUAUCAAUCUUCUUAAAGAUCUAUAAAAUCUUUUACUGGAUCAAUCUUAUAGUGAUAAAACUCCAUAGAGAGACACAAUUCUAAAGAGAGAAAAUGAGAUUUUCUAGAGAGAGAUACUAUAGAGAAAGUAGAGAGAGAAGGUGGAGAGAGAAAUUAGAGAAAAUGAAGAAAGAGAGAGGAGAGAGGGAAGAGAAAGAAAGUCUUUUUUUUCUUUUUCCUUGUCUUCUCUUUCUUUCCCUUUCUUCUUCUUUUUUCUUUCUUCUUCUUCUUUCCUCUUGGUAGAACAGAGGACCUCUCGUUCCCUUUCUAUUCCUCAAAAAGAGGGAGGCUCAAAGCUAGCGGCAAUUGUCAUCGAGUAUGCAGCCCAUGGUAGCACAACUGAAGGUCCUCAGUCUAGAAAUCAAUGCUGAUGUGCGGUAUCGAAGAAAAUCCAUGAAAAUCAUGGAAAAAUAGAAAAAAUCAAAGAUCUGAUUUUUUCAAUGAAUUUUUGAAAAUAAUCGACUGAAAUCAGAGCUUUAGGAGUUAUGAGGAAUUAGGAGGAAGAUGAUUUAAGAGAUCGUACCUUGUCUCCGAUGGUUUUGACCAUGAUUUCAUCGGGCAUGGUGAAGAUAGUUUAGAACAAGAAAGAGAAAUAGAGAGAGAUGGUGAGAAAGAGGGAUCUCGGCAGUGGAUGAUGGUGAAUGGAAAGAGGGUCUUCUCUGAUGGAGAACCAUUAGAUCCCACUCUAAUUCAACCUUGUUAGAGAAGAAGACUCCCAUCAGACUUUUCUUUUCCUUGGUGGCUAAGCCCCUAUGGGCUGGGUAUUACAGCUUCUCUCAAGUACUCCAAGUUUAUG